CAUCCAGCCAAGGAAUUAGAAGCUGCCAGCAGAAUUUACUGGCAAGCCCUUUGCUAUGCCGCCUCCACUGGCUUUGAAGACAGGCAUAGCCAAAAACUGAUAGAAAACUAUGACCAACAUCAAAGAAUGGUUUUCACAGAUACUACAACAAUGGACUUCCAGUGCCCCCACUGUGCUGGCUCUAUUUCCAGACUGGAACUGCAGAGUCAUCUCUGUGUCCACUGAUGAACUGCACAACAGAGUGUCUUCUUAAAGCCCAAAGAACUCGAAUAUGGAAAAAAAGUGAAAGAACAGGAAAUUAUCUUCAACAAAUAUUGAAGAGGCUAUUUUGGUACAGUGGUGGGUUUCCCCCCAGUUCGGACUGGUUCUAUAGAAUCAGUAGUAAAACUGGCGGGAGGCUCCACCCACCGACCCCGACGUCAUGAGGAAGCUUCUGCGCGCGCGCAGCCCCAUUGAGAACCAGUACUAAAGACCUGGCAACCCUAAUUCCAAAGGAGGAGUAAGACCACACCCUCUUGCCACACUCUCAUCCCAUGUAUCCUCCCUGUAAAGAUAUGUUAUACAAGAGCUUUGUACAAAACCUUUUCCAACUGGAUGCCUUCCCGAGUAUAUUGAACUACAAAUCACAUCAUGUUCAGCAAGGCAUGGUGGGACUCAUGGACCACACCUCUAAACAGCAGCAAGUUAACUACUUUUUCGCAGUUUUGCCGAGGGGGACCAGUUGUGUUUCUCUCACUCCCCAAACAUCCUAUUGUUGUACAUUGAUUUUUUUAAAAAUCUGUUUUAUAUAAUUUACUCAAUGUAAAUUGAGAGAUCAAUUUACUCAAUGUAUAAUUUACUCAAUGUAAAUUCAGAGAUCUGAAACAGC